CUGGGGAUAACGGAGCAAAUCGUAUGGCUGUUAGUGUGUGUAUCGAGGCUUCGAGUAACUUUUCAGAAUUUGAUAUAAAAGUGUUUUGGUUAUUUGUUUACUGGUUAUGGUCAAUUUUAGGGGUUGAUUAAACUGGAACAGUGUGUUCUGGCGGUUUUAGAUAGAACUCUUUGUUCCGGGACGGAUGGGAGUUACCCAAAAAUGCUGGUCAAGAGCAAUCGUCUCUCAGAUAGGAUCAUAGUCCUGGCUGGGAAGAUUGAGGAGCUGUUGUACCCUGAGCAGAUGGAUGUGAUCAUCUCAGAGCCUAUUGUCACAUGCUGCUGAACGAGAGGAUGCUGGAGAGCUACCUUCACUCCAGGAUGUGGCUCAAACCCAUGGGUCAGUUCAGUCAGAGAGGAAGAGGUAUGUUACCAACCUAUAGUGACAUGCAUCUGGCUCCCUUCACUGACGAGCAGCUCUACAUCAAGCACCAUGGACGCUCCAGCUUCUAGCGAGAGAAAAAAAAAAACACGUCAUGUUUUUUGCCAUGGCAAAAAAACAAAAAAAUGAACAGGAAAUGAGCUCCAAAACAAAAAAUAAAAUAAAAAGUAGAACAGGAAUUUAGUUUUAAAAAUGCAAAUUUCUCAGCAUGAGAUUAGCUAUAACAUUGCAAAUUUUUCUCUCUGUCCCAUGGCAAAAUGUGUAGAACUGUAGGGAGUUACACGUUUCCCCCAAAACUGUGAUAUGCCAAUGUAAUCAGCCACCCACAGCUCCAGGUCCUACUGGAACUGGGCUGUGAACCCAGCAUAGCGGGUUUCCUGACAAUGUAAAAUCACAGGGAGUCUUUUCAAAUCAAAUCAAACUUUGUCACAUGUGCCAAAUACAACAUGUGUAGAUCAUACAGCUUACUUUUCUCUCUGCAGGAUGACAGUGUGGCUGUACACCACUCCUAGUGAACGUCUGACUCACUGGUACCAAGUCCACUGUCUCUUCUAGACCCCUCUGUUUGGCUAGGUGAGACAGACUCUGUCCGGAACUGUCCAGUUCAUAGCCAACACGAGGUAAGCCGAAAAAGGACAGUGCCUGUACUAUAGAAAUGAAAUGGGGGAAAUUAUACUGAGAUUAUAGCUUUUCAUUUCUACCAGGCAGAGGUAAGACAUUCACAUCACAGCCUGGCCGGUUCCCCUCUUUCUACUGGGAUUCUCUGCCUCUAACCCUAUUACAGGGGCUGAGUCACUGGCUUACUGGGGCUCUCUCAU